UACGAGGGGUGCAAGCGUUGCUCGGAAUUAUUGGGCGUAAAGGGUAGGUAGGUGGUCUCAUUUGUCUGUGGUGAAAGCCUUGGGCUUAACUCAAGAAGUGCCGCAGAAACGGUGAGACUGGAGUCCUGGAGAGGGUCGUGGAAUUCCCGGUGUAGCGGUGAAAUGCGUAGAUAUCAGGAGGAACACCUGCGGUGUAGACGGCUUACUGGACGGUAACUGACGCUGAGGCACGAAAGCGUGGGUAGCAAACAGG
rnacentral:rRNA from 1 species